CACGUAGGCGGACUCUUAAGUCGGUGGUGAAAUCCUGGAGCUCAACUCCAGAACUGCCUCCGAUACUGGGAGUCUUGGAGUCCGGGAGAGGUGAGUGGAACUGCGAGUGUAGAGGUGAAAUUCGUAGAUAUUCGCAAGAACACCAGUGGCGAAGGCGGCUCACUGGCCCGGUACUGACGCUGAGGUGCGAAAGCGUGGGGAGCAAACA
rnacentral:rRNA from 1 species